GACGGCCUCCUCUGUGAAGCCUUCCCUGAUCGUCCCAGCAGGCCCAUCCCCACACUCCAGUCACUGCCAGGUUUAUAGAAAAGUCGCCAUGAGAGGACAGAGUUCCCCUGUUAACAUCCUAUGGAACCAUGAUCCUUUCGUCAAAACUGAGACGUUAACCCUGGUGCCCUUACCAGCAGCGAAACUCCAGUGUUUAUUUGUAUUUCUCUAGUGUUCCCACUCCUGUCCUUUUCCGGAGCCAGGAUCGAGUUGUGGAUACCACAUUGUAUUUAGCCCACAUGAUUUCGAAGAUGGUGUUUUACUUAAACAUUCAUGCAAA